rnacentral:rRNA from 1 species
CUCAAGUUUGAGCAUUUCAAGCCUAUUUUUCAUUCAAUAUUCAUUUUGCUUUCAAGAACACUUAUUGUGCUCAAUUGUAUAUAUUCUUGAGUGUUCUUUCUUUGUUCUAGAAUUGUGCAAACAUAUUUACCUUGUGAGGUUUUUCUUGCGAGUUUGCAAAUUUGUAAUCUUCUCUUUGAGAAAAGAGUGUUCUCAAGAAUUGGGGUAUAUUCUUGAGGGAGUUGUAAGGUUAUCUCUUUGGCCUCAAAAGAAAGAACAAAUUAGUGAAUUUGUUGGAAAAUCCUUAGUGCCUUAACGGGAUGGUACUGACUUUCAUACAGGUACUGCAUGGCUGUCGUCAGCUCGUGUCGUGAGAUGUUUGGUCAAGUCCUAUAACGAGCGAAACCCUCGUUUUGUGUUGUUGAGACAUGCGCAUAAGGAGAAAAUCUUUGCAACUGAAGUGAGCCGAGGAGCCGAGUGACGUGCCAGCGCUACUAAUUGAGUGCCAGCACGUAGCUGUGCUGUCAGUAAGAAAAGAGCCGGCGCCUUUCGAAAGCCCUUUCUAGUGUGCGCUUUAGUUUGAUUGCUGCUAGCACGCUUUACUAAUAACAUAGAAAGGGCUUUCUUUUCUCGCUUGUUUAGUAAAGUCAAGUUUUUGGCCUUAUCUUGCAGGUGACGACGACGUCGAGUUGGCGGCGGAGAAAUACUCGGCAUUCAGGCGAGCCGCCCUGUGGUGUGGUACGUAGUGGGUUUAGUACGCCCCGCCAAAAUGGCUCUGAAACAAACAAAAAGGUGCGUGCCGCACUCACGAGGGACUGCCAGUGAUAUACUGAAGGAAGGUGGGGAUGACGUCAAGUCCGCAUGGCCCUUAUGGGCUGGGCCACACACGUGCUACAAUGGCAAUUACAAUGGGAAGCAAGGCUGUAAGGCGGAGCGAAUCCGGAAAGAUUGCCUCAGUUCGGAUUGUUCUCUGCAACUCGGGAACAUGAAGUUGGAAUCGCUAGUAAUCGCGGAUCAGCAUGCCGCGGUGAAUAUGUACCCGGGCCCUGUACACACCGCCCGUCACACCCUGGGAAUUGGUUUCGCCCGAAGCAUCGGACCAAUGAUCACCCAUGACUUCUGUGUACCACUAGUGCCACAAAGGCUUUUGGUGGUCUUAUUGGCGCAUACCACGGUGGGGUCUUCGACUGGGGUGAAGUCGUAACAAGGUAGCCGUAGGGGAACCUGUGGCUG